UGGGGAAUAUUGGACAAUGGGGGCAACCCUGAUCCAGCGAUGCCGCGUGUGUGAAGAAGGCCUGCGGGUUGUAAAGCACUUUCAGUUGGGAAGAGAAUCUAUUGAUUAAUAAUUGAUAGAGGAGACGUUACUAACAAAAGAAGCACCGGCUAACUCUGUGCCAGCAGCCGCGGUAAUACAGAGGGUGCGAGCGUUAAUCGGAGUGACUGGGCGUAAAGGGCAUGUAGGCGGUUAUGUUAGUUUGAUGUAAAAUACCCGGGCUUAACCCGGGACCUGCAUUAGAAACGGCAUAGCUAGAGUAUGGGAGAGGGAAGUGGAAUUUCCGGUGUAGCGGUGAAAUGCGUAGAGAUCGGAAAGAACACUCGUGGCGAAGGCGGCUUUCUGGCCCAUAACUGACGCUGAGGUGCGAAAGCAUGGGGAGCAAACAGGAUUAGAUACCCCCGUAGUCC
rnacentral:rRNA from 1 species